rnacentral:ncRNA from 1 species
AAUCAAGCGAUAGGUAAGGGCAUUUGGUGAAUGCCUUGGCAAUCAGAGGCGAAGAAGGACGUGGUACACUGCGAAAAGUUACGGGGAGUUGUGAACAAGCAUUGAUCCGUAAAUAUCCGAAUGGGGAAACCCACAGAGCAAUCUGUACUGCAUGAUGAAUAAAUAGUUAUGCAGGGCGAACGCAGGGAACUGAAACAUCUAAGUACCUGUAGGAAAGGAAAUCAACCGAGACUCCGAAAGUAGUGGCGAGCGAAAUCGGACCAGCCGAUGGAUAGUCAGUAAAGAAUCAGAAUUACCUGGAAAGGUAAGCCGGAGAGGGUGACAGCCCCGUACGAGUAGAAAAGCUGACUGUUCUUGAGUAAGGCGGAGCACGAGAAAUUCUGUCUGAAAAUGGGGAGACCACUCUCCAAGGCUAAGUACUACUGAUUGACCGAUAGU